GGACUAUGAUAGGAUACCCUAGAGUCUCUGAACCAUUUCGUGUUUGUAAAAACAACGCUCUUUGUCUGAGUCAG
rfam:Caenorhabditis brenneri strain PB2801 C_brenneri-6.0.1_Cont17.25, whole genome shotgun sequence.